GCUUUCGUGAUGAAACUGGGAAACAUGCUAGACUAAGAAUCUAGUGCUAGAAAUGGCUUGUGGGUUCGACUCCCACCGGAAGCA
rnacentral:tRNA from 1 species